rnacentral:lncRNA from 1 species
AAAAAAAAUCUGCAUUGUAUCAUAUCUGGAUACUCUAAUCGGUGCAGUAACUUGAGUAUCGCGGAGGCUUUCGUAUUUCUAAGUUAUUUUCGAUAACGAAACUUUUGAAUCGACGAUACUGUAUUUUAAGUAUUUAAAAAAUAAAUUAUGAUUUUUCGAUAUCAUUUACCUAAUAAUUAAAAGGGCUCAAAAAUCAAUUGUUAUAAAUAAAAAAAAUUCAUAAAAAAUUUAUCAUAUAGUACUAAAAUUGAGAUAUUAAUUUUGUUGUAGAUAAUAUAAAAAAUUUUCUACCAAAAUUUUAUCCGUCUUGAAUAUUUUUAUAUUGUUAAACUUACAAACGGCACACCUCAAUCAUUAAAAAUUAUUAAUUCUAAAAUUUUCAAAUUAUUAGACAAUCAUAUUAAAAAAUUAAAAAUUUAUUUUUAAAAUAUUUUAAAAUAUGUUAGAUUAAUUUUAAUAAAGCUGAUCCUCGAUCAUCCCAAACAGCUCAGGAGGACAUCCUCUAGUCGUAGUAAAUAUAUAUCUACUCACUGUGAUAAACGGAUGAUGAGUCUUCAGAGGCAAAAUCGACGGUGGAUGUUAUGCCACGUGGGCCUCGACGUGCGCCAUUUUGCACGUUAUCAUCAACCAACCACAUUUUUUCCCACGCUCCGUUGGGAUAUCCAAAACCACUCAAAAACUCUCCUCCCNAUGCAAACUAGUUUUAUUACUUCUACAAUAGUACCUGAAAAAUACCAUACAUUUGCUAAACUCUCCUCCCCCUCUCUCUCUCUCUCUCUCUCUUUCCAAACAAUGGAAAUUUCCAGCUAAAAAAAUAAACCCAAAAAACCAGGAAAAAAAAAAAAAUGGCGUUUCUCCUUCCCAAUCUCUCCGCUCCCCCUCUCCUCUCCCCUUACCCUAAUCCUUCCCCAAACCCCCACUCAAAACCCUUCCUUUUCUCCUACUCUUCUUCUUCCUCCUCCUCCUCCUCUUCGUCCCUUCUCGUGCGCGACGCGCUUCAGGAGAAGCCCCCGAAGCUGCGGGAGAAGCCCCCCACGCCGCACCGAAGCGAAGAAUCCGAUCGAAUCGAGAAGAGGAAGGAGGAAAAGGACGAGUUUUACCUCAACCUCGGCGUCGCCGUUCGCACCCUCCGCGACGACCUCCCCGCCCUCUUCGUCAAGGACCUCAAUUACGUCAUCUACCGGUGAAAUCCCUAAUUCCCACUCCCCCCAAUUCAGUUUUAAAUUUACGGAUUUUGGUUGUUUUUAGACGAAAUAUGUGUGAACAACUCCUCGAUUACUCUUGGUUUGUUUUGAUUAAACAUGUUCUUAUUCGAUAUAUUGAGCAUCUUAUUUAGUUUGGGAGGGAUUUCAUUAAAUUUAAUGGCUUUGCUAGAUUUUGAGCCGAGGGAACUGAUAUUUAUUAACAUUUAAUAGCUGGUAGCUAAUGAAAUUGUUAGUUUUAGUGAAAUCCAAAAUCAAAACAAACAAAAUUUGAAUAGGUGUUAAUAAAAGAAGAAGAAGAAGAAGAAGAAGAAGAAGAAGAAGAAGAAGAAGAAGAAGUUUCGGAGUGUAUUUCGAAAGGGUCUAUAAUUGAGCACUAAGUUUUCUAUAGUUCUAGUUCGAGUUAUUAAAUAGUAAGAAAUAGAAAUUAGUUUGUCAAUUUCAAAACAGCAAACGCCCCAUUUUGGAGCUUCUUGAUUAAGCUGUAGAUAGAAGUUGCUGGGGUGAUCUCAAUAGUGCUUAUCCCAAUAACACUACUCGGAUAGUAGUUCAUCAAACAACGGUACACUGUACGGUAGUGCCAAACAGGCUCUAAGUCACAAUAUCGAGAUGCGACAGGGACCAUCAUUUUAUCCUAUAAACGCAAUUCCUGUUUUCCUAAUUUUGAGUGUUCCAUUCUUUCUUGCAGUGAUGAUAUCACAUUUGUCGAUCCGCUAAACACUUUUAAAGGUAUCGAGAACUAUAAAUUGAUCUUCUGGGCGCUCCGAUUCCAUGGCCGCAUCCUGUUUCGCGAGAUUGGGUUGAAGAUAUUCCGUAUAUGGCAGCCAUCAGAAAACAUGAUCUUAAUCCGGUGGGAGCUUCAUGGGGUGCCGCGUGUUCCGUGGGAGGCAGAGGGGAGGUUUGAAGGGACCUCACGGUACAAGCUAGAUCGAAAUGGGAAGAUCUAUGAGCAUAGAGUUGAUAACUUGGCGCUGAAUUUCCCUCGUGUAGCCAUGGGGCCGAAGACUGUGCUGGAUUUGGUCAUGUGCCCACCGAGCCCCAAUCUGACAUUCGGGAAUGGCUCGUGCUCAUGGGUUGAGCUUUACCGGGCAGUGAGGGGAACUUUGGAGGAGGAGGAGAAGGAGGCAACAAUUGAAGGAUUGGUUACUUGUUCAUAGUUUAAGGAGUAGACAGAAGGAUUAGCAGUGUAUAUAGUAGAGAUGGAGAAACAAUGUUUUGGUGAGUUGGUACAAGUGACAUUUAGCAAAUGUAUAUGACGAGGUGCUCAUCUUCUAUACUCUCUUCUCAUUCAUAUAAUAAAAUUAUAGUGCAAGGAUUGCUAUAUCUAUGCAUGUUAUAGCAAAAAUAUAAGGUAUACAUUAUGUAUUCUCUGGGUCUCGUGGUAAAACAUGUUUAAUCUCGAUAUAUGCAAAUGUGAUCCAUGUGGAUAUUCCAAAAGACUUUAUGAUUGAAUUUGACCAUAUGAUGUCUCGGGAAGAAACCAUCAACUUAAUUCUAGCUCUCCAUCUAAAUGAUGGUGCAGAACAUUUUACAUAUUAGUUCCCUUGAUAAAAUCAGAUCAUUAAGCUAACACAUGUUUUGUAGUAAGUUGCCUGGAUUAUUUGAAGAAGACCGUAAAACUUCUCUUUAGCUGCAUGGAACUUAUAACUUUAGUUCCAUUCCUCCAUUUCUUCAAUUCUAGCGCAUAAUUAUUAUACAGAAAGAAGCCCCAAGAAUUAGUUCAUUGGUAUGAUUUGUUAUUGGGCCUUUGUUCGAAAGUUUUUGUUCAGGAAAUGAGUUCAAAAUUACAAUGAAGCAUGUCAGAUUUUGCCUGAGUUCUCACUAACUUAGCCAUUUGAUGCAAAAUUCUAGCCUUCUUCAUAAAGGCCUGUGCUCGCCUGUGAAUCAACAUGCUAUAUCGCUAAAAGUGUAAAUACAUAAUCGAUGCUUUAUGCUUAAUGGCUGCUUAGACUGUUAGAAAUAGUGGUAUCUAAAGUUUUUUUUUUAUUGUCCUCGGCUUAGUUUGGUAUUGAGGCUCAUCUGACACUAUUAGAUAAAAUGGAGUUGGGAUAAAAAUAUAUAAGGAUAUACUUCUGCGUUCUCCGGUGGGAUAGAAACCGACUCAUCGCGAUAUGCGGAACGCAAUAUUACGUAUGAAAACAAAUAAGAUAUUUUCCCAUCAUACUUUCUCACCGCACGUAACGCAAUCUCUCCGCAAUCCCAAGCGAAGCUCUAGUCAAGUUGUAGAGUUUAGAAAAGUGCUUUCGUCAUCCAACUUUCUGGAAUGUUUUUGAUUAACUAUUUUUCUUCGUCAUUGUCAAAUAUUUCUUUUUCUUUUUUAUGGAGAAUCAUCAGUAUUAAUUUAUUCAUUUCCUCUACCUAGCGAUCGAAUCUCUCUCUGUAACUAGAAUGUGAGAAUUUGAAUAAUUUGAGUUUAAACUUUGUAGAAUAUUCAUUUUCUGUACAUAAACAAUAUUUAUAUCCCACAACCAACAUUGGCCGCACAUCUUAUUAAGUGAUUGACUAUUUGUGUGUCAGUUGUAACAAUAGCAGAGAAUUCAAUGUAUCAAACUUCUCAUAACGAAUAACUAAAUUACGUUAGGUUCUCAGGUAGACAUUCAUGAUGAAGCAGAUCAAACAUUAAAACUAUUGAAUGACGAUUGCAUAUAUAUGUUUAAUUAGGGUAUCAUGUUAAAGACGAGAAACAAGCGACAGCAAUACUGAUGCUGGUGCUAUCUUGUUUUGUGUGCUUAUUGGUGAUUUUCUUUCCCUUUGCUAUAUUGUUUCUAUCAAAGUUGGAAGAUUGAUAUUUUUAAUUCGGCUGAUGGAACUCUAGCUUGAAUGUUGAUGUACUGCAUAAGUUUUCUUCCUGGUUGGGUUCGAUUGUGCUUGAUUGUUUCUUCGCCGUCAUAACUUGUAUUCAGGCUCACUGGAUGAUUGGAUCGUAGGUUUCUUGAUACCCUAGUGUAUGUUUUUUUGUUUUUUUUUUCUUUUUACUACUCAGAAAAGAAUUUUAGCUUCUGAUAAGUUUCAUUUUAUUCAAGCAAAUCACAAAUUCCUUGAAAACUAAAAGCACAUAUUGAUAACUGGCUGUACUUGGGCAAAUUAUUUGCCAUACAAUUAUCUCUAGGCUACCCUUAAAUUUCUUUCUUUAAAGCUUGAUUGGUGAAUUGGUGAUGUGUGAUCCGACAUGUAAAUUGCGAUUACCAAUUCCUUUACUUAAGUAUUAAUAAGAAUCUUGUGGUUAUUUGCUGUUUCUGAUGCUGAGUUUGCUAUUGAACCUGUUAGAUAUUGGCUAAUUGAAAUUGGUAUUAAGAUAAUAGAUGGUUUGUGACUUUGCAGAAUGAUUUCAACUCUAAGAUAACAGAGAUGGUUUGGAGUUUCUGCUGUUGGCUUUAUUUUGUGUAGGUUGUUCGAAGAUAUCUCAGUACCAUGAAUUCUCCUUGGUUAAAGUGUGUUUAUUGUUUAUAUGCAGAAAAGUGAAAAAAGAACCCCCUUAAUUUUAAGGGCUUCUUGGUCAUGGAAGUUAUUAGUUAGAAUGAAGUUGGAGGUAACAACCUAUUUGUUGUCCUCCUCUCACAGGUUUUUUUUUUUUUUUUUAAAGAAGAAACCCGGGUAUAUGAACGUAAUUGUUUUAACCUAAUCAAAACAUUAAAAGAUACACAAGAUUCAGAGGCUCCUCAUCAACCAACAAAUAAUGAUUAAGGUGUCAUGUUUUCUUAAUGUGUGUUAUAUGUACCUGAGCAUGAACUACAUUAGGCACCCGUGUUUUAGCAUUCAUGUCAUUAUCGUGGUUACUAAUUAGUAAAUAGUUUACACGCACACACACAUUUCAUGGGAAACACUUUGUCUGCUUCUAGAACAAGUUUUUGAUCAGAAAUAGUACUUUUGCAAAACAUUGAAUUUCCGAAGGGCACAUUCAGAUUUCUCACAAAGAUAUGUAUAUGUAAACAGAUAAUUUGCAGAGAAAAACAUAUAUAAGUGUCCCAUACAUAGGCUCUUUUUUUUUUUUUUUUAUUCUGGAGGAGAGAUGAUAUGCUGAUAAAUUUGGUGAUAUAGUAUAGAAAGGAAGUUCACUGGAUGGUCUCAAGCUGUAAUUUUGAUGUGUCACAAGAUCGAGUUGCUGCAAUGUUGCUUUUGUUGUGUUAGCUCACCAACUUUUUUGGAAAGGAAUGCAACAAAUUAGUUACAUACUGCAUCAUUUUUGACUACUAUCUACUUUGUUAACUUAAACCAUAUGCAUAUGUGUUGAAUAUUUAUAGAUAGUCAUUGUACCUUUCUUUGUUUACUUGUUGCAGCAGAGGGCUCAACAACUUCACCAGCCUAUAUACUUGUUCAACAGAACCUAUUCAACAGAAGAGAGUAAGUAAGUCACUCUAUUUAAAAAGCACUUUUCUGAUUGACAUUGCCUGAUUCUUAAACCUGAACUUCAAUUUUAAAGUUUUAUUUUUAUAGUAGUCUGAAUCCAGUAUGUCAAAUCUUUGUCCACUGCUUGUGAUUCUGACUAAUUACACUGCAGAUUGCCAAAUUUCCUGUAAUGUUGAUCAUGUAUUACAUUUAUAUUCAGAAAUUUUUGGUGGGCUACAAACAUAUGCUUGAUUUUCUAUAGGGGCAGUUGUCCAAAAGUCAAAUAUCAAUAGGUAGGUUUACCGAAAGAAAAAGGAUUAGGACAAAUUUGGUUGCUUAACUGUUUCUUUCUACAACUUAAUUUACUGUACCUGAUGUGACUAGAGAAAAAGCUAUUUUCUUAUGAAAAUUUGCAUAGAAAACUUAAGUCCAUGGUACAGAUCUCUAAUGUGGCAUAGAGGACUCAACAUAAUACACAAUUUUUGCUGAAAAGAAAAUCACUAAAAGAGAUUUUUUAAAAAAAAAUUUAUUCAGCGGGGAAUAGGAGGUAAAUGGGAUGAAUAUAUUGGAUUAUUAAUAGCGAAAAUCGAUUUCAUACUUACAACCGAAACAUCAUUUGGGAUUCAUGUUCUUUGUAUGGUUUUUUUUUUCGACUUGCUUCUUUUUGUGUGAUUGAGAUGCUUUUUACAAACCAGCAUAUGCUAUAGUAUUUACUUGGUGGAGAAAUGUAAAUUAAUUACAAAGAUGUAAGCAUGGCUAAUAAUUUUAAGGUUAAAAUCUAAUUAUUCAGCAGUAGAGUUUGCAAAAUGUUGUGAGAUUUGUUUGUAAGUAAAGUAUUUUCUUUUGGAGAUAUCGUCACAUCUAAGAUCACCGAACAUCAUAAUCAGAUACCAAUUAAUUAAAUAUCAGUGGUUGGUAUAGACCGUAUAUAGGUGUGACUUUAUUUAUUUCUCAACAAUAAUAGUUAACAACUAACUACACUUUAUUGAUUGAAUAAUCUGAGCUUUGUUUAUAUUUCUUUUCAUUGCUUUAAUCUUAGUGGAGAUUUUAGUUGCCCAUUAAAAAUUUACCCCACAAAAAAAAGAAGAAACAGAUGUGGUUCUUUUUUUUUAUUUUCUUGGUUGAAAAGGAUGUGACAACCACCUUUUUUCUAGAAAUAAGAUCCAAAAGUUGUAUGGGCCCAAAUGUUAGGUUCUAUAACUUAGUGAAUUUGAAUUAAAAUAUUUGUUUUGGAUUGAAUUUAGUUCAUAUACUUGAAUCCAACUAUAUCAAUUAUGUUAGCAACUUUAUCAUUGCUCGAUUCAAUUGAAUUCAAUUUCUUAUAAUGAUUUAUUCUCUUUUGUAUUUUGUCGACAUAACAAUAAUAUAAAAAAGUCGAAUCCGUUUAAAAAAUAAAAAAAAAAAAAAUUAACCCCCACUCUGGUCGACCGCCACGUGGACAGUCGCCGGCACUACGACAUUGGACUCGACGACGACCUGGUUGCCGGACGUGUUCCGCAGCGCGUGGUACGGGAACGCCGAGUCGGCGAGCAACGAGUACUGCACGUGCCCGAUCCGGUCGGGAAACAGCAGCACCGGCGAGAAAUCGGCGGUCCACGUGCUCGCAUUCCCGGCCACCGACGCCUUUGCCACCGUCGACCGCACCGUCAUUCCGUCCGCCACGUUCCGGUCCACAAUCACCUGCUCGACGGUGGUGAACCCACCGUCCAAUCUUACAAUGUCGACACCCGCUCCGGUGCCGCUGAACAUGUUGUCGACGAUGUUGACGCCCUUCACCACACCGUUGAUCGACUUGAGCACGACGUUGGCGUCGCCUAGAAAGAAUGAGCUCGAUAUAUGGACCAAGACCGGGUCCUCCGACACGAUCCCGGUAUAAUCCAAAUAGCAGUUUGUGAUUCGGGUUUGGCUCAGACCAGGCGUUUUCAAAUAGAUCCCGGUCCCGCCCCAUCCGGUUGCCUUAUUGUAACAAUGCACCCCAGUAAGGGUGUUGGCCUCGCCACUUACUAGGAUUCCGGUGGCCGCCGAGAACACGACCACGUCGGUCACCGCAUUGUCGUUGCCCAUCAACUUGAUCCCCGUGCCGGUGAAGUUUUUCUCGCCCGGGUCGUUGCCGACGGUGAUGUGUUGCCCUAGGAAGCUGUUUCUGAUGAAGGUCUCGUGCCCGUUCUGAACCCAGAUGCCGUCGGUGGUGAAAUGGGUGAUGUAGCAGUUAUCGAUCGUCGUGCGGAUCGCGUUGACGACCGCGACUCCACCACCUCGGAAAUUGGAGUCUAGCAUGAGGCCGCUCAGGGUGAUGAACUCGUAAAGGGAGCUCGACGAAGAUCCGGACGCCCAGAGCUCGAUCAGGUAACGGUCGGUCGGGAAGUUAUCUGAAGCCCGUAGCGAGCCGCUAUGAAUCUAGUUUAAAGACGCACGUGUCAAUACUAACAUUAUGCAAUGCAUUUUGAAUUACGUGUAUAAAUCAAUUAAAAUCCUUCGUAUUACGCAUGUCAGUACAUCGGUGUACCUUAAAAUUGCCGCCUCCGGAGGCCGGUAAACUAAGCGGGGACGUGAGGACGUAGACGCCGCCGUCGAGGUCGACCUCGGCGCCGCCCAGAUCGGGGAUUCCGCUCAGCAGCGUUCUGCUCGUCGGGGGUCGGAACGCGUCGGCGAUGGCCCUCGCGAUCGCGGAGGUGGAGUCGGCGACGCCCGUCGGGUCGGCGCCGUAUUCGGUCACGUGGUACACACGUGACCCGGAAGCUUCCAAAUUCCCCUGCAACCGUCCAAUCCGUCUCGCAUCAGAAAAAUUUAACUUUUUUUCCAGUAAGGGGCACGCAUUCCGUGUAAUUCCGUGCAUACAAAAUUUUCAUACAUAAUAGUAAAAGUUCAAAUUUUAUGUAACAUCGCAAACUAAAAUGUUUAAGUAAAAAGUAUACGGAUACAUUCUACUCUUCAUCAAUUACCAACUACAAGGAGAAAAAAAGAGAGAUAACUGUUUGGCUCGACGAAGGCGGUUUCGCUGCGGCGAAGGAGGCGGCGAGGCUCUCCAUCCGCCGCGCCGCGAUAUUACGCCGCCGCUGAGCGCUGUCGCCGAUAGCCGAAGCAGCAGCAGCAGCAGCAGCAGCAUGAUCUGCUGCUGCAGCAACCAACAUCACCAGCAGGGCCAAAAGCCCAGCAACAAUUAGCACCUUAAUCCCCACCAUGAUAACACGUAUUGAUUCUCAAAUUCUCCUCUUUUUUAAUAAAAUCCCCCACCCCUGCACCUCUCCUUCAUCUCUAUCUACAUAGCCUUUUGUGUACUCUACACUUUCUAAGAGCCAAUCUAAGAGAAGGACAUAUGGAGGAAACAGGGAGAGAGUGAGUUUAUAUAUUUAUAUAUAAAACAUACGAUAUGAUGUGAUAACUAUAUGGACAUGUUAGUGAAUAGAAUAUUGCAAAGAGUGCAUGAGAGGAGAAAGGGUCAAAAAAUUAAGCUCUAAUUUUUUUUUUUUUUUUUUUGGGUUUCCAAUGUGAGAAGUUAAAGAUGUCCCAAGAUUCAAGGAAAAUUGUGGGGCCCUCUUUUGGUUUGAAAUGGGUCACUGUACCAAAGGAGGGGGUUUUGUGGAAAAUUAAUUUGGGUGGGGUGUUGGAUGCAACUUAGUUAUAAAUGCAAUGGGUGGGAGGAGUGGAAGCAAUGUGAAAGGAAUUAAUGAUGUACAUUGAUUGAGAAAGUUGCUUUGGCUUGUGGGAAUUAAUUCCUUCGCUUCGUUACCCUCCCUUCUUUUCUUUCCUCUCCUUGGGAGGCUUUUUGUUGUUGUUGUUGAUCUUUUCAUGUCCUUAAAUUUCUUUAUGUUUUAGGUGAAUAUACAUGACUUGGUAAAGCGAAGAGACCCCACCUAACAAAUAAGAUAAACGUUUUAUUUGUACAUCGAUAUACAACUUUGAAUAUUCUUACAUCUUCUCGAUCCUAAGAUUCACAAAAACUAAAUAAUAUUAGGAGAAGGCGAUGAAUCUUUUGAUGAGCAAGAUAUAUAAUAUGCACCCAGUUUAGAAAUGUACAGAUAAUAUUGCUCAACAAAUAAACCACUCCGAACAAUUUUUGAAUUUUUCUCUUUCAAAAAAGUGUUACCAUGUGCUUUUCUUUUCCUUUUAUUUACCUUUUCUUUCCUUCACUUUUUAUCUAAGACCACGGUAGGUGGUCCAAAGGAACACAAUAUCCUAUGCCCAUUAAUUGAUGCCAUAUUCUCUCUCUCUUUGCCCUUUUGCUGCAGGGCUCCAAAUGCUCUCUCUUUUUUCCUUGCUCUUUCUUUUUCAUUGCACACUAUGAUUUGGAGAGCAAUAAGUGAGAACUGAGUGGACCAAAUUCAAUGAUGCAUUGCACUCAAAAGUGGGCCUGAUUAAAUAAAACCAAGUUAGGAUCAGGCUUUCAAAACUAACCCAUUAUUUAUUUCUAUUCCUUAUAAUAAUUGUGUUAGAACACCCUCUUUGCAUGCUUCGAGGCUAGACUGGACUUUUUUCGAAAAUAAUCCUGUGAAAGUUCGUAUUUGCCAAACUAAUUCCGUAAAAUUUUUAUUUGUAAAACUAACCCUCCUUUCGCCACGUGGGCGCCACGUCAGGAAUUCCUCAAAAAGGCGGUGAAUCGUUCACCGUCUUUAUAAUUUUUGUUGUAAAAGCGGUGAAUGGUUCACCGUCUUUAGAAGACGGUAAACCAUUCACCGUCUUUAGUGCAAAAUUCUCCUUUCCGCCCUUUUUCCUUUCCGCCCUCUCAAGUCCGUCUUUUCUGUGCCCUCGAGAAGAUGGUGAACGAUUCACCGUCUUAUCAAGGACACCAUAUUAUGGACUUGGAAAGAUUUGCGCAGUGUAGGAAUUUGUACUAAAGACGGUGAAUGGUUCACCGUCUUAUGAAGACGGUGAACCAUUCACCGCCUUCACAACAAAUAUCAAAGACGGUGAACGAUUCACCGUCUUUUUAAGGAGUCCCUGACGUGGCACCUACGUGGCGAGAGGAGGGUUAGUUUCACAAAUAAAAAUUUUACAGAAUUAGUUUGGCAAAUACAAAAUUUUACAGAAUUAUUUUCGAAAAAAAUCCGCUAGACUUGUGACAGUGUAGAAUUCCUCCUCAGCAACAAAAUCUUUUUAGCGUAUCAGUGUCAAAAUGAAUCCACACCCUUCACUAUAAAAAAAAAGGGAAAAUUAUACUUACAAAGCUGUAAUAAAUGCAAUGAGUUUUAAUAAGUCAAGAGGACCACGUGAAAGGGUAGUACAAGCUUCCUCAAUUACUCAUGCUUUGAAAAUAUUAAACUAGUGCGUGCUUAACGAAAAAUUCUAGAAUGCAACGGAUAUAACGGUGGCGUGGCGUAAUAAAUCAAUCAAAGUUUUUUUUUUUAAAAUAUAUGUUCCAUCAUGAUUAUAAAAAAAUAUUUUUAUUAUACUUUUAUUUAAAAAGAAGAAAAAUAAUUGACUUAUUAUUAAUAAUGUGGUACAAGUGUGAUAGUGUAGAAUUUUUCGUGCUUAACACCCAUUCUAUCAUUCUAUGUCAAACCAUGCAAGGGUAAGAAAUAUAUCAAGGACUCCUUCUCAAUUAGGUGCUUACUUAACUUAGAUUUUUAAAACAACUUUUUCUACUUUAUAAAAUAAUAAUCAAAUGUUUCGUAAACAAAAUUCUUAAAUUUUAUGACGACAAUACAAUGAAAAAGAAGGUCCCAAAAGUGGAAAUUUCAACUCCAAUUGCUAGCUUUUACUUUCAAUGAGAAACUGUCACUUAAUUAGAAAUUAGUGUUGCUCGAACAGUGAAGCAAUUAGAUAUUGAACUUAGGACUUCAGGUACCAAUUAUUUAACUCUUUGCCACCUAUGCUAGUAAAGGUCGGUAGCAUUCAAAAAUAUUAAGAUCUCUUGUGAUUAUCGCUAUACUCCUAGCUGAAUAAUUAAUAUAAUUAUUCAGGCUAAUUUUGGUUUAUUGUGCGUCAAAUUAUUCUUUUGGAAAAUAGGGGAUUUAAAGAUGUUUUUAUCAACGUUUAUAAUAUCACAAUCAAUUUAAAUACCGCCAUUUUAUGACAAAUAUAUUCACAUAUAUAUAUAUAUAUAUAUAUAUAUAUAUAUAUAUUAUAUAUAUCAUAUAUAUAGGUUAUAUACUAUAUAUAUUCUCUUUCGUUAUUUUUUCAGUGAGUGUAUGUAAUGUAGUUCAUCUAAUAUCCAUGUUGCAUUAGAUAUUAAGAGCAACAUAGUUAAUUGAACUUAAAACUUUGAGAUAACAAUAUACAUAUAGGACUCUUGCCAACAAAAUAUCACUCUUGGGAAACAACCAAACCACUCACAUCAAUGACCAACUUAAGGGCCCCUCAAGUUUGUUCAAUACCUUUGCAUAGGUGCCUCCCUAUGUGAGAUUCAUUGCGAGUAAUACUACGUAUACAUCUUAAAAUUUUAGGUUUAAAGUUUACACUUCAAAAUUUUUAUGACCUUUAUUAAUUUACUUAUCUAAUUUUUUUUUUUUUAUUUUUUACGAAAACAUAAAAAAUUUAUUAGCUUUUGGAUCAAAGAGUGUAUAUUAUAUAGGGCUUUUUUUUCAAUUUAGUCCCCCGGCAAAUUUUUAUUUUAAAAAUAAUCCUAUCAAAAUUUAAUUUGCAAAAAUGGUCAUGCUCCUGCCACGCAGGCGUCACGUCAACCCCACGCGGGUAGGACUGGGGCAGUGUGUUAAGUUGAACACGGUAAACCAUUCACAGUGUUUCAUAUUUAUAUUCCUUUUCUUCUCUUUUAGGGAUGUCAACGGGUCGGGUUUGGAUCGGGUUUUUAAAAACCUGAAAUCGAAUCCGAAAAUCAAAUUAAAAUCCGAACACGAAUCCGAGCCCGGCGGGUUUUAAAAAUCUAUACCCAUAUCCAUAUAUUAAAGUUAUAUGAGUAUGGAUUUUUAAAACCUGUCGAAUUCGGAUUCGGGUUCGGUUUUUAAUUUGAUUUUCGGAUUCGGAUUUGGAUUUUUAAAAACCCGAUCAAAAUCCGACCCGUUGACAUCCCUAAAAAAGAAGAUAAUGAAUAUAAAUAUGAAACACGUUUGAACACGGUGAAUGGUUUACCGUGUUCAACUUAACAUACUGGCCCUAAUCCUGCUCGCAUGGCGCUGACGUGGCAUCUGCGUGGCAUGAUCAGAACCAUUUUUGUAAAUUAAAUUUUGACAGAGCUAUUUUUAAAAUAAAUUUUUUUUUAGAGUACAAUUUGCAAAAAAAAUUCUAUUAUAUAGGACAAUGUACAUAGCAUCUUUCAUUUAUUGUUUACGACUAUAAGGAAUGUCACUGUACAUAGCAUCUGUCAUUUAUUGUUGCGUCGGUGCAAUUAUUGUACCAUUUUUUUUCAUUUAUGGCUAUUUAGCCAAUGAGCAUAAAACAAUUGCUUGUUACAAAACUGUGUUGUUGAUUGAUGGACCUUGAUCUGACCCAUGCACAUAGAAGGGCAAAGGAGUGGGGCUAUUUUGCUUUAUUAGUUUAUAUAAGAUAACCAAAUUUCCCUACAAAUCAUAUUACAUUUUUUCAAAAAAUUGCUAGGGAUAAGCAUCUUUGACAUAUUUCUUCAAAAAAAAAAAAAAAAUCACAAAAACAGUUUAAAACCAUCUAGUAUAUUACUUGAAAGUAGGUAAAUACAUUUACUGCUACUUUUAUUCUGGCUCCAAUCAAAUAUAUUUUUCUUUUCUGAUCUUCAGGAAAGUAUCAUCUCAGUAUAGGGGUGUACAUUUUACAUCUUUUCAAUUUUCAUCGAAGAACUUAAAUGACCCUUGAAUCCUAGCAGCUACCGUAACUCCCAUCAACUACAAAUUUUAGAUUGAUAAUAUGUGAUUUCAUGAAUUAUUAUGCUACUAUGCUAUCGAUAGUAUCAAACGAUUGAUACUAUCGAAUUUUCAAUCGUUAGAUGAAAGAAUAUGUGGUUGGAAUGAUAAUGGUCCCCCAGGGUUGAGUGAGUGGUUGAUUAAAUAGUAUAAUCUAACGGGUGGAAAUAAUCAAAGGAUGGAUCUAACGAUAGAAAACUCGAUAGUACAAAGAAUUUAGUACUAUCAAUAGUAUAGCAGCGGGACUCUCAUUUCAUUUGCAAUGAUACAUAAUUUUGUGCCAUACUACUCGAAGACUCCAAACUUAUAUGAGCCGGCCCAUGGGCCAAAUCUGCACUUUUUAGGAACAGUGUAUUGGGCCGGGCCAUGUGUCUGCAUGUGCGUAAGCUCGAAAACCCCUAAAAUCUGCAGGUAAAUUUACUGAAGCUUAAUACAAUACAGCUAUAUUAUACCAGGAAGAUUAUAAAAACUCUUCUUCCACAUCAUUUCAUUGUACAAAUUGUGCCGGUUAUUUGGCUUAUUCAUUGUCUUAAAUUUAACAAAAUAUAAAAACCCCCCAAAAAAGGGAAAAAGAGUGAAAAAAAAAGAGAAAAUGUCACUAUAUGCAUGGCCCUUUUGGACAAAUCAUAUGUUAUCUGCAACGGAGUAUUAGGCCCAACAAAUUAGGCCUGGUGAGAACCAUCACAUUAUAGGCCUCUAUUGGGCUUCAUGUGGGCCCAUGAUCCACCCCCGAAUCGAUCUCCGUCCCAAACGCAACAUAGACCCCUUAAAACCCUUCUCUCUCUCUCUUUCUCUCUCUCUCUCUCUCUCUCUCUCGCUCCCGCCCCCCGUACGCCAUCGCCAUGAGAGGAGCUCUUCGAGCUCUGAGGCUCGCGACCUCCUCCUCCGCGCCCCUCUCUCGCCCUCGCCCCCGUUCCCUCCUCCCCUCUCGCCUCCUCGCCGCCGCAGCCGCCGACCCCCAACCCGAUCUCCCGCCCUCCGCCGCCGCCGACGACGACGACGCCGACGCCCCCUCCGCCGACUUCGAUAGCGCCGAGUUCUCCCUCCCCGACGACUCUGGCGCUAGCUCCCGCCGAGCUCCCGUGUGGGACGAGGCCUAUCGGGUUCGGGCCGACAGGGUUCUGUUCGGGGAGAGGAAUCGCGCGAAGAAGCUGUUGGAGGAGGAGGAGGAGAGGGAGAGGGCGACGAGGCUCGCGAGGGCGCUGCUCGAGGCGGCGCUGGAGCCGCCCGAUGACGCGGAGGAGGAGGGGGAUAUGGUGGUGAAGGAGGAGGAUCAGAAGUCGCUCUCCGUCGGAAUCAUCGGAGCUCCGAAUGCCGGGAAAUCCUCUCUCACGAAUUUCAUGGUAAAUUUGAUUCCUUUAUAAGGUCUUGUGAUAGAGUUAAAUUUAUUGGACUUUGUUUGUUAUUGUGUGCAUUUUAUCGAGCACGUAGUGAAUAAAUUGGCUCUACUUUUUCCCCUUUUUGGGGGUCUAUUUGAGAAGUUAAUUGCAGUAUUGUUCAAAUGAUACUAAAGUAGAAAGAUUAAGCUAAGAUUCUUUAUUGUAUAUGUAUAAUUUUGUGGAGAUUCAUAUAAUUUUCUGUGUUUUGUUUGUGUUGUCAUGAAGCAGUUGUUCUUCGUUACACAUCAUGUAUGGUGGGUAGCAUUAUUUCAUUUCAUUCAUUAACAUGUUCUUUCGAGUUUAUUUACGUUUGAUUGGACUUCGCAGCUUCAGUUUGAUUGUGGAGUUCAUUUAGAAACCCUCCCCAAGUUUGUAGUUCACAUAAAGUAUCACUUAUUUGGAAUUUGUAAUGCAUAUUCAAUUUCUGAGCUCAAGCAACUUCGACGUUUCUCCAAUUGCUUGCGGCCACAAAAUUCUUUCUGCACCCACAGUGGCUUUGGAUUUCAUUUUAAAUUUAUUGUUGCCUACCAUGUAAUUAUAUUUACUUUCUUCUAAAAGUUUGACUUACAUAUGUUGGUACUGCCUUUUUUCCUGAUAUUGUUUCCAUCACAUUCUUCUUGUUCUUUGUCUGUUAUUGCAGGUUGGAACAAAAGUUGCUGCUGUCUCAAGGAAAACUAAUACAACUACUCGCGAAGUUUUAGGAGUAAUGACGAAAGGGGCAACACAAAUUGUAUGGAUUCUUGUCUUGCUUCUUUAUGCUUCUGAUAUUCAUGCCACCUAGUUCCACUUGUUGAUAAAACGACUUCUCAUAUAUAUAUUUCUAAACUGAUGCGGAAGUAGUAUAGAAAUGAUAGAAUAUAUGUGUAUAUUCAAAACACAGAGAGAGACGCGCAUAUAUGUGACUUCACUUUCUUGACGUAGGUCUCUUUCUGUUUAUAAACAAAUAAAUAAAUAAAUCCAUUUAUUAAACUUUAAUUUGGGGUCUCUAUGCAAUCGGAAGGGUUUGGACUUCGGACUUAUUCAUGGAUAAUAGAAAAGUGCAGAAAAGAGAUGUAGAAGAGAAAGCAUGUGUAGUGUGAGCAUAUUUGUUUGCAUCUUUCCUAUAAUAAUGUUUCAAAGAACUGCUCUAUUGAAUAUGGCUUGGUUUGAAGCAUCUCAUCUUUUUUUAUGUUUUGCUCUUGUAGUUUGGUGAACUAAUAGCCUUUUCGACAGUGUUUCUUUGAUACCCCAGGUCUCAUGAUAGGGCAUCACGGGUACCCAUACAGGACAGAUGUUAGAGUUCGCGUAGAAAGUGCUUGGAGCUCAAUCGACCUAUAUGAUCUGCUUAUAGUCAUUUUUGAUGUCCAUAGGCAUCUCACCACGUAAGCUAUCAACUUAGCUUCUACUUCUCAUGCAUGUCUCGGUGAACGGCCAGUGGUUGUUAGACGUCCAUCUUAUCUUCUGGUAAUAUAGCUGUUGCUAGAUUUGAUAAUUACAAACAUAGUCACUGUAGUUUGACCUUGAUUUCCAUUUUGCCCUAAAGCUGACCCUGAUUUCAAUUUCGCGCUCAAAGUUUCAAUUUAACAAAGGAAAGCUUAAAAAUGAUGCUGACCUGUCACCAAUUUUAGAUGGUAGAAUAAUAGGAUUUAAUUAUUAAGCAGAAAAAAUUUUAGGGAUCAAACUGUUAAGUUGAAAUUAUGAGUAUGAAAUCGAGAUUGAGUUCACACUCCCAGGAGUAAAUUUGUACUCAACCCUAUAUGAUUGUUGAAAUUCUGCUAACUUAGUUUCCUAUACAUAUAGGUCUGACACAAGGGUGACAAAGUUAAUUAAACGACUGGGUGAGGAGGCAAACCCUAAACAAAAGCGCGUUUUAUGCAUGAACAAGGUGGAUCUAAUAGAAGAUAAAAAGGACUUGCUGAAAGUUGCAAAAGAAUUUGAAGAUCUUCCUGGAUAUGAAAGGUACGUAAUCGCUUACUAUGAACUGGUUUCCAUGCUUAAGUUUGUUAUUAGUUAUUCUCAUUUCUCUCUUUGAGACUCUUAGGUAUUUCAUGAUAUCUGGACUAAAAGGUUCAGGUGUGAAAGACCUCGUACAGUAUCUAAUGGACCAGGUAUGCCAGCUUCUCUAAGAAAAAUUUGUGUUUAUUUGUUCUACUUCAUCAUGAAGAAAAUCGAAUUUUGUGUUCUGUGUUGUAUGAAAUAGGCUUUCUGUUUCUUUCUUUUUUUACGUUUACUGUAUAGGCAGUCAAAAGACCUUGGGAUGAGGAGCCAAGCACCAUGACCGAAGAGAUACAAAAAAACAUAGCUUUAGAGGUUGUCCGCGAAAAGAUGCUAGACUAUAUUCAUCAGGUGCUACUUUGUUAAAUUUUACCAAAGAACUGUUGUUUCUUUCCUCAUGGCAGAAGUUAAUCCAAUAUACCAUCUCUAUCAGGAAAUUCCAUACGUGAUUGAGCAUCGAUUAAUGGACUGGAAGGAACUAAGGGAUGGUUCUCUGAGGGUGGAGCAACACUUCAUUACACCAAAACCAAGCCAGAGGCAGAUUCUUAUUGGAAAGAAUGGCUCUAAGAUAGGGUAUUACUUCUUUCAGUUAACUGCUCAUGUAAUACGAAACUACUAGCAUCUCUCUGAAUUUACUGUCAACGUGUGUAUGCUGCCUAGGGCGUUUGUCCGGUAUCUAGUCUCUGUGGUGUGCUCGUGUAUGCAUGUUCUUUUUUUUUUUUUAAUUGGACUUGUAUCGUAUGAUGCUGAUUGCCGCAUUAAUGGAACAAUUUUGUUUUUCUGGCGUACUUACCUUUGUUUAGGAGAAUAGGCAUUGAGGCCAACCAAGAAUUGAGGUCCAUAUUCAAGAAAGAGGUGCAUCUCAUUCUGCGAGUUCGAGUUGCUAAGAAGAAGGGUGCUUGAGUUGACGGUGGACAUUUCACAUGUUGCAGCUGAUUUCCAUGUAAGUACACAACAUCUUGUUUCCACUGUUCGGUUGUUCUUUCUAGUAAAUCUUUCGUAAUGCUCAAUAAGAUAUGCAUAUGCAAUUUAUAGUUUCAUAAGUAUACAGAGGAAUCCUCGGAUCAUUAUAAAAUCUCAUCUUGCAACUGACAAUGAUCAACGAUUCUUUUGGCCCUGCUGAAGCUACAAUGACUUCUCGAUGCAACAUAAACGGAAGUUUCAAUUCAUAGCUUAUUUUAGCUUUCCAUCACAUUUUGACCUAUCAACUCAUUCAUUAAACCUCCCCUAUGGUUUCUUCCCCUCAAUCUGACCUGGAAGUACCACUAAUUAAAAAUAUUGGAGCUAGAAAGAAUAAAAUAUUGAAGCUAGUUGCAUAGAUGGGACGACAAACCCAUGAGUAGAACCCCGAGGUGAUCUUGCUGAAGAAUGUAGUAUAAUAAGAUGAAAAUAACACUGAUUGAGUUUGAAAAUUCUUGUUCAGACCCAUAUACGAAUUAUAAACAGUUGUGUUAUUUCAGGGCGAUAUUGAAGUUGCAUUACUGACAAUGGGUUUUAACUUGGGUCAUUCAUGAAAGAACACGGCUUGAUACAUGAGACCUCUUAUUCUUGAUCCCUAUAUAUUGGAGGCACCAAAAGGAUUGGCUUCAAAGUUACACUCGCAAUCAACGGUGCUCCGGUGCAAUUUCGGGCUCGCCAAGUGUGCAGGAACGGUGCUUCAUAUUCGGCUGAAGAUUACAAGUUGUGCAAUUGUUUUCUAUUUUUUCUUUUAUACAACAUGUUGUAAAUUGUAUCGGUUCUCUUUGGAGAUUCUGCCAUUUGUUUGUUGUUUUUCCUUUACCUAGUUUCGCUAUGGAGGAAUAGCUAGGUGCAGUGACAGGAACAUAUGAAUACUAAUAAUGUUGUAUCAGGUCUUUUUGAAGCCUUUUACUAAUUUCGUUGUGCACAACUCAAAAGAGCCGUAAUACUCAAAAAAGGUCUAAUUACACUUGAGGCCUCAUCUCUGCAUUUGCCUUUCUUUUUUUGUUUUUCCUCUUGUUUUUUCAGUCAAAACUUCUCGUUAAACUUGUGGUAAUAAGAUGAUUUUAAACUUUGUACAUCAACAGUAAUCAAGUUUCUUUUAUCGGGGUAAAAUAAACAGAAACAGCAAAUUAAGAAUUUCCAAUAGUUCUCGAGUUUAAAUUAA